GCCGCGGUAAUUCCAGCUCCAAUAGCGUAUAUUAAAGUUGUUGCAGUUAAAAAGCUCGUAGUUGAAUUUCGGGAUUAGUACGUUGGUCGUGCCUUNGGUACGUACUGGUGUUACUGNUUCCUACCUUCUGACGAACCAUCAUGUCAUUAAUUUGGUGUGGNGGGGAAUCAGGACUGUUACUUUGAAAAAAUUAGAGUGUUUAAAGCAGGCUCGCGCUUGAAUACAUUAGCAUGGAAUAAUGAAAUAGGACGUUGACCCUAUUUUGUUGGUUUCUAGGAUUGACGUAAUGAUUAAUAGGGAUAGUUGGGGGCAUUAGUAUUCAAUUGUCAGAGGUGAAAUUCUUGGAUUUAUUGAAGACUAACUACUGCGAAAGCAUUUGCCAAGGAUGUUUUCAUUAAUCAAGAACGAAAGUUAGGGGAUCGAAGACGAUCAGAUACCGUCGUAGUCUUAACCAUAAACUAUGCCGACUAGGGAUCGGAUGAUGUUAUUUUUAAUGACUCA
rnacentral:rRNA from 1 species